rnacentral:pre_miRNA from 1 species
AUAUGAAUUACCUAGCAUAAUGUUAGAAUCCAAGUCCUGAUUCAGCAGACCUAGAGGUGUGUUUCAGAGUCUGCAGUUCUAACAUGCUCACAGGUAAUGCUGGA